rnacentral:ncRNA from 1 species
CACUGCCCGUCGCUACUACCGAUUAAAUGGUUUAGUGAGGUCGUUGGAUUGGUGUCGUUGUAGUGGUUUUUCCGCUCAACUGAUGCUAAGAUGACCUGAUUUGACUACUUAUAGAAAGUAAAAGUCGUAAUAAGGUUUCCGUACGUGAAACUGCGGGAG